rnacentral:lncRNA from 1 species
CCAUUCAUUAUCAUCAAAGUAUAAACAUCUAAAUUUUUACCAUUUACAUUUUCACCAAAACAUCGUCAUACCAAAAACUCUUCCUAUUACAUGCCACUUUAACCAACCACAAACAAGUACCAAAAAGACUACCAAGGUGAAGAUAAUAGUGUACGAGCUUCCAAACUGAUCCAAUCAAAGCAACAAUUCCAAGAGUCCUACAAACAUAAAAUUAAACGAAUAAGCACAAAGAAGCUUAGUAAGUUCGAUAAGUAAACUCAUUUGCUAUCAAAUACCAAAUUUCCAAAGGAUGUUAACCUUUAUUACACCGGCAAUAAGCCUGAAUAACACCGGCAUUAAGCCAGCUAGGCACAAAGCCUGAAUAACACCGACACUAAGCUUGCUAGGCACAAAGCCUGAAUAACAGUAUGAUUCAACACUUAAAUAUCAUUCCAUAACAGAAUUUAAAGAUUAAAUCACUAACAAGGAAUUUAGUUUAACUAUACAUAAGCAUAAAAUGAACUUACCGGACUAGUUGGUAGUAAUUGCAAAGCAUAGGAACUACACUGAAAUAUUUCCUUUUCCACGAUCGUCAACACGUUUGUGAUCUAAAACAAUAGUUUCAUUCAAUUAAGUACUUCUAAACUUCAAUUUAAUCCAUAAUUCAUUUUUAUGUAAAAUUACUAUUUUCCCUUAACAUUUUAACUUUCUCACAAUUUAAUCCUUAAGCUUAUAACUUAAAAUCUAACAAUUUUAAUCUAAAUCCAUGUUAGUCAAACAUAUAAGGAACCUUGAAACAACUCAUAAUUAUCAUCAUUUCAUAAUAAAACCCUAGAAUUUAUACAAUUAACAAUUUAGUCCCUAAUUCCAAAAUUCAACAAAAAUCACUUAACAAAACUUGUUUAUUUUUCAACAAAGAUUCAUGAUCUACCAUUUAACAUCAAGAACCAUUCAAGAACAUUCAUGACAUAACCCUCAACCUUUAACAGUUUUACAAAUUAACCUCCGGGCUAGCUAAAUUAAGCUAAAAUGAUUUCAAAAACAUAAAAAUAAUUAAAAAUAAGACUUAAAAACUCACUAUGCAAGGACUUAUCCCUAACCAAAUGCUCCAAGCUCUUUAAUGGUGUUUUAGGUUUCAAAUAAAAAAAAAGAUGAAGAUGACAACAUUUUGUUCAUCUUUUCUUAUUUAGUUUUUCUUUUAAUUACCAAUUUACUAAAUUAACCUUUUAAAAUCAUUAAAAUUUCAAUAAAACCAUGCCAUGCACAUCCAUUAACUCUUUAAAUGGUCUAUUUACCAUUUAAAUCCUUUAAUUUAAAGUUUCAUAUCUAUUUGACCCUUUUACUAAUAGAACUCAACUUUUUUUAUCUUUUACGAUUUAGUCCUUUUUACUUAAUUAACUACUUAAACAUCAAAAUUUCUUAACAAAAUUUUAAUACGACCUAAAUAAAAUCCUUUAAACAUUAAAAUAAUAAUAAAAUAAUAGUUUGCUAAUCAAAAUUAUGGUAUCGAAACCAUUGUUGCUAUCUCAUUGAAAACGGGCUGUUACAGUUUCUACAUCCCAAGGUGACCGACCCAUAUAUGUUUUCCUUGGUGACGAGGUAAACAUCAUUUAUUAACAAAUAUAUAGUCUGUACAGUAAUUUUUUAUUAUACGUUUCGACUAAUAUAUAGCUUUUACAGGUGGAUAUUGCCCGAGGAGUUAGAAGAUAUUAGGCUGUUAUUACAUCAAUGCUUGGAAGCCGAGGUUAGUUACUUAUUCUUUCAAACCAAUAUUAAUUACGUAAUGAUUCAUAAAAAAAUCAUACAUAACGAUAUUUAUAAUUUUGCUUUUCAAUUUGAAUGGAUGUCAUACACCGACAUCAAUGUCAUAUCUUGCAUCCCGCUGGAAGUGUUAGAAAAUCAACAGAUAUGAGACACCAAUGUCCAGUUAUUCCUGUUCACACUAUGUUUUUUCACAAGCACCACUGCACUACGGACCACUUCAUAGGGUCUAUUCUUCUAUUCCCGCAGAUACAUAUUUCGUGCCACCGACAUCCGCCGCAUACUAUACCCCUGUGUAGAUGUUGAUGCUGAACCCCGUACCGGGACAGAUGACGACGUAUGCUCUGCCACUAAUGACGGUACUGAUGCAGACUAUAUUACAGCAGUCGAUGACGAUGUCGAUGCUUGGUAUAUUUCCAACGUACUCGGGAUUUUAGGCACCUUAUAGUUACACGCCUAUAGUGAACCAAACACCGCACACAUCACUGUCUUAUGGGGGUGGCUCAUCGUUACAACCACCAGACGUGAGAGUGACGAUGGCAGGCAAGGAUGAUGCAACAAUCGACAACGAAGGAAGAUGAUGAUGGUGUCAAUCCCAAAAAUACGAUUGCCCAAUAGGUCAUGGUAAGUACAUAUCUAGGCAAUUAUGACAAUGAGGAGGAAGUCUACAAGCCCACACGUUGAACCUUCAAUUGUACAGUCGAUUGUAUGUAUAAAUCAUCCACUCGACCAUCGUCUACCGUCUUGUGGCACACAUUCUCCCUGACGACACGGUUGAGUUUAUUUUUCUUAAAAUUAUUUGAUGUAAAUACAAAUAUGUCAUAAAUAAAAAAACCGAGGUUAUUCAUUAAAAAAAACAUGUCUUUUUCACUAUCUAUAAUGAGUUAUGCGUAAGUUAACAAUAAAUAAAAAAUGUUGAAUUUUGUUAUUGAAAUAUUAUUUUGAAUAUGAAAUUUGAUUUGGAUUUAGCUUGUGAUUUAAAUAAGAAAGAAACGAAAACUGAACAUGCAAAAUGUAGAAUAAAAAGAAGUAGGUAGAUCGAACAUCCAACACGAAUGACAUUUCACAACUAAAUAAAAUGUAUAUCCUUAUAACUAAUCGCAAUACGGAACACCAACCUUUAUAGUUUAUACGAAAUACAAAAAAACACUGUUAGUAUGGCACGUUGAGGCCCCAAUAUAUCUUGGUACAGGGAACAUGUUGGCUUCGUAUGCUCUGGGAUUCUAUAAUACCCGCAUAAUUUCUGUUGACCAUCUCUCUCUUGAAUAUCCAUAUUGUUCCUUAUCCGAGUAGAAUUCGGGCGGCCUUUCGAGACGCAACGUAGGUCCUUGUUUGGAACCAACUCAAACAGCGCAUUGGAUACAGACAACCACAUACUCUCAUCUGGGAUAAUUAGGAAUUCAGAACUCCAGACACUAUGAAUGCGUUGUAGUCAGUAGACAUCGUUGAUGUAAGGCGCGCACUCAAUUCAUAUGUUCUUACAUACGGUAAUUGCAUGUGCAUAUGAGAAUUGAAGUGCUGGUAACCUCCCACAAUCACAUGUCCAUUCCGUUAGGUUUACAUGAUAGGAUACACUUGACAUUUCUUGGUCGGGCCUAGCAUGCUCCGUGACUCAAAAAUUGAGGUUCCGACAUGAGUGGCAUACUACAUACAUCAUGUUCGCUCUUGCUAUACUCCGCCAAAUCUCUUGCAUCACUUUAUUAUAGAAUGUACCGCAUCCCACUAUCUUUCCGGCGUACACCGACUCCCUCUUAGGAAACAAGGCAGCCAAUCGAAAGGAUGUCUUUUUGACAAUCGAUGUUAUUGAAAAAUGACGCGCCCCCUUCAGUACCGAAUUGAUGGACUUGGCCAAGUUUGACGUUAUGUGCUCGUAUCAUAGAUCCCCGUCGUAUGACUGUGUUUACUGUUUGAACGGUAGAUUCGAAACAUACGUCGCACCGUAGGCAUUAAUGGUGCUCAAGUUGUUCAACUUUUUGAUGUAAAACAUGUUGGAAGAGCUCGUCACUUGUCGAUAAAUAGGUACCAAUUAGUGUAAUGAAAUAACCUCGUAUUGAAAAUUUGAUGUACAAUGAAUACAUAGUUAGAACUACAAACCCAUGUCAAGGAUUAGAUAUCACUUAGUUGUCGUCGAAUUUUUUUGUAAUAGUUGGAUCCCACAUGUUAUAUACAAUACCAAUGAUGAGUGCAAUCCAAGAGGGAUCUGUGACGAUCAAUCACCACGAGUAUUUCGAGUGUCCUGUCUAAUAUAACACAAAUGCUGAGUUGCAGAAAAACGAGAUAGCGGAACUAGUUUAGGAAGAAAUCCCAGUCAUCUGUCAUUUCUCCAGAAGUUAUUGUAAACGCUAUAGGCUUAAUCUUUCGGUUACCGUAUUGAGCAAUGGAAAGCAACAGAAGCUGCUGAUACCUUUUGUACAACCAGGUGCUGGUAAUUUGGACUAUAGGCUUGCAGUGCCGAAAUGCCUCUUUACAUUGCUCAAAGGUCCAAAAGAACCGAUGCGAUCUUUUUUCGCUGGGAUCAACUUAUCGCCACAGUACCUGGGCACAUUUUGAGGUCAGUUACGGAACCUAGUGUGUAUCGAUCCAAUACUUGACACCAUUGUCAUAGAUAGUUUUAUGAACCCUCCCACCCGUGGUACAACUUCUUCAUAGCUUUUUGUUUUGUAACCCAAAUUUUGUAGUACAUUGGAGUGUAUUGGUACUGGCUACGUAAGUCUGCAAUCAGCACCGAUAUUUUGAUCCAGGGACUAGCCUUCACAACCGGUAAAAUGAUGUCAGCAAUUAUGUCUGAGUGUAACCUCGGAUGGUCCUAACUUGUACCUGUCGCAACACAUGUAUGCGGAUCGAGAUACUUCUUUAUCAACCACAGCCCUGUUUUCUUACAAUAAGACGUCAUAAUUUUCCACUUACACCUGUUAUCCUUCAUUGCGCACUUUUCUUUGAAUUUCUCGUAGCGAGACUUCGUGACGUAGUAGUUCAUGCCAUUCUUGAUGUUGUAUCGCUUUACUACAACAAGAAAACCAUCUUUGUUGAGGUAUUCCAUUCCAACUUCUAAUACUCGUACAUCACGAUUUGUGCUUGCAUGACCAGAUGUUCUGUGUGGAAGCCACGGAAACUCUAAACCACCAUCAACCGAUAGGUCGAUGUUCGUCAUGUGGGGCAGAGGUUCAUACGCCUUAAAUCAUGCAUUUGGAUCUGGAGCAUUGUUUGAGGCAUCAUUGUCAGACUCGUAAGGUUUCGGCUCUGUUAAAACCAAAUCUUGUUUGGAAAAUAGUAUCACUUUUGAACCAUCUAGACAGCGCUACCGGAUUGGCUCAAGUUCUGACUCUUCCUCCUCGCUUGUGUCCGCAGCCCCUUCUUCCUCAUCUACAUCCUUUUCCUCGUCCGUAUCUUUAUUGUCACCUUUGAGCAUAGUGUUAGACAUACCCUCGCCGGCCCCCGUUGAAAGGAGUAGGUAAAUGGUUCUCCUGUAAUCCAUGUGUCCGCCAGAAUAAUCAACGUGUUGAUGACCGGUGUACGUUGAUGAUCCCCUAGUAUAAAUUAUUUUACCCCAUAACAUUGACCCAAUACUGAAGUUGAAAUCAAAUGCAUUAAUUGAAUAUUGAGCCCGAGUGUCUAGAUUUGGGUUAUGCUGAUACCAUGACUGGUAUUGACCCUCGAAGUUUAGAUCGAUGCAGAAGAUUGAUGAGUGCCUACCCUUAAAUGUUCUGAGAACAUCGUAGUAGCUGCUUUGAAGGAGACCAGAAAACGCACCGCACAACUAUGUAGUAGGACUUUCUGCUUCAGCUUCGUUACCUGUAUUCGCCGCAACGGUGGUCAAAGAUGGGGUAGAUCUAUCAACAUUGACGAAUGUGACAUAUAACUCAAUAAUAUCAUUUCCGCUUGAGAUGUGUGAUGAUAUGACCGUCUCGAGAACUCUUUCACUAAUUACAUCAAUUAGCUCGUACUUAUAGGGGUCAACAGAUGUAAGAUAUAUGCAUUGAAACAGUGGUCGAAGAUGGGGUAGAUCUAUCAACAUCGGCGAAUGUGACAUAUAACUCAAUAAUAUCAUUUCCUCUUGAUUCUGGUCCAUAGCUCACGUAUUUGAAUAGUACUAUUGAACAUAAAUUCUAUGGACUUCGAUCCUACAAACACUACCCCGAACUCUGUAUUACAGAUUUGACUGUUUUAGUAUAUAUUAGAUUUCACUCGUCGACUCAUUUCAAUAUUGGUCAUUGUUUGAAUGAAUAAAUGCAAAAAAAUAAGUAGAGAGUUAUCUAAAGGAGUACACACACUCUCACCCAUGAUGCAAGAUUAUUCUAUUUGAUAUUAACUUGAUGCUUAUCUAUGUUAUGAAAAUUAUGCCCCUUUUAUAGGAGAAUUAUGUAGGGAAAAAUAGAAUAUGUGUUAUGAAUUUUGUCUACAAAUGCACAUAUUAAUUGCAUAAUGUAUGGUACAAAUAAUUUUCAUCACGUGUUCAGAAAUCAUACAAUUUCAUGGAGAUUCUAUGCUGUAUAACAUGCGCAACAGUCAUUUGAAAGAUAAUUUUUUCCUCGGGGAAUAAUAAAUUUGUUAAAGAAAGCUCGCGUAGUUGGGGGCUUUGACAUGGCAGGAAAGCCCCCUCAGCUGAGCAAGCUUUCUCUAACAAAUUUACUAUUCCUCGAGGUAGAAAAGCUUGAUGCUUCCAAUAAUUCAGAUGCUUUAAACACUUCAACACAUUUAGAAUACGUUCCAGUGUGCUUUGAAGGUUUUCUUUUGCAAACAUAUCCUUCCAUGCGGCUAUAAAAUGACUCUGACAUACCAAGCUUCAUCAUCCCUCACUCAUAUAAUUUCUCUCCACUCCUUUCUAUUUCUCCACUAUAAACCAUUUCCCGAUUUUAAAAAUUUCAAUCGUUAAAAAUAUUUAGUUUACAUUUGAGGUAUUAUUGAGUCAUUAGUGAUGCGAUAUCACUAUGAGCUGCACACAUUUCAUAUAUGAUUCCGAGAGGGAUCAUUGCCUCCGAAACCUAUCAUAGGGAAGUCUGUUAUGAGAUGAUUUUACUUUUUACGGUUAAUGGUGGAAGUUGACGUGGAGAUCUCAAUCGAUAGCCGUUAUGCGAUAAUGGAUCAGGGUAUAAUGAGGGAGCCAGUAUACGGUCGUUACACGACCACGAGCUCAAUCUUUUCUAAUACCAAAAAAAUUAUACCUUAUAAUUAGCAUACAGAAGUUUGAGGGCAUAUUGAUACAAAAAAACUCUAGGGAUUUCAAUUAUAAUCAGUGUAAUUUUUUUCUCCAUUUCUAGACAACCAGUUCCUUUAACCUUCUUUCUUAUUCAAAGGCCAGCACCAUCGUAGACGCAAGAGGACUCUCAGGUGGGGAGCGGCUUUUACGAUGUAGUAAAAGUGAUGCUCUUUUCGGAGCGACGAUGAUCAUGGUUAUUACACAACCUAUUAAUAACUAUAACCGCUGCCGCGUCGACCUGAGUUUGACCUCUACUGUGCCAGAAUAUUCGCUCUCCUCCUGAGAGCCCUUUUGUGUCCACCUCGGCGUCAGCCUUCGGACAAAAAUGAAAGGUUAAAGAUACCAGUUGCUUGGAAAUAGAGAAAAAAAUUACGUUGAUUACAUCGGGAGCCCCCAAAGUUUUUUCGUAUGAUUAUGGCAUCAAUCUUAUGUAUCAAUCUUAUGUAUAGGGCCUUGUUUGUGGGUAUCCGAAAAGCUUAAACUCUUGACCGCGUAAUGACCGUCACCUGACUCCCUGGUUAUACUCGAACCCAUGAUCACAUCACGGCCGCCGAUUGGGACCUUCCCAUUGACUUCAACCCCUGAUCGUAUCAAGCAUUAUUACCCCAAAGCCAGAUUUCCCCAUGAUAAGUUUCUAAGGUCAUGGUCUUAUCUUGCCAUGACAUAUGAAAUGUAUGUGUGCUGAGGCGCGUUAUCACAUUCUCGACCCCUCAAAACUACCUAAGAAUUUUUGCCGUUUCAAUAAAAAACCCUAAACACUUUCGAAAUAUCCUAAACCUUAACUGUAAAAAAUUAAAAAGCUCUAACCCUGGAGAGAGAAAUAAAAAGCACCCCCAAUUGGGAAAUUACUCCAAUUCUCACCCUUUCUCUUAAGAAUUGGAAACUAUAAUUGGGUUGCUUUAAUUAUACCCAAUUUGGUAGGAUCCACUAAUUACAAUGGUUGCCCAAAUAUGCCACCCUUGUGUAAUUACAAGUAAUUACACCUAAAUUACCUACAUAUUAAUUAAACAAGCGAAUAAAAUAAAUAAUUAUAAAUUCAGUUUUAUUUUAAUUGGCAUAGUUACAAAGUAAAAAUUUUAUAGGGGUACGAAGAUUAUGUUAUAUAUUUUUAUAAAGCUAAAAUACAAUUUCACCAUUUUACUGGCUUAUAUUUUAUAGUUUUUAAAAGAACUAAAUCAAAAUUUUAUCAUUUGGGGGCUAAAUUAUAAUUUUACUAUGUAUUAACAUAUAAAUUUAUAAAUUUUAGAGGGUCUAAAACAAAAUUUUUUUUUAAUUUUAGGAAGGGCUAGGGCCCUUGUCUCUUCCUUCCUUCACUCUCACAUUGUAACACCCCUUUCCUGAUCUGGUCGUCGAUCCCAAGCAAUAGGAUGCUAUGAACAAAUACCAAACAAUUACAUAUAAAUUGUAACUCAAAAUCUCAAUUAAUUAUCAAACAAUUCAUAAAUAAUCAAGUUAACAUGUGAUUCAAUCAAUUUUAAGUUAACAUCGAGCUUACGAAAGUUCAAAACCAACCUAGUAGGAAACAAUAAUCAUUUUAAACAAAAACAAAAAGUUGGGAAAAAAAUUGCAAACAAGGGCCACACGGCCAUGUGGGAUGGGACACACGAUUGUGUAGACCAGCCAUGCAACAGAUUGAUGCUAUGUGGUAUUGGAGUCACACGACCAUGCGAACAACCGUGUACACUCAUCAAGACCGUGUGGCUCAAAAGUGUAAAUAUUAAAAAAUAUGUCACACAGUCGUGUAACAGAUUGUGGCCAUGUGCACUAAAAUCAGCUAAAAACUUACAAGCCACACGACCGUGCCAUAUGCCUGUAUAUAGAACACAGUUGUGUUGUGUGCCAGGCUGUGUCUCAAGCCAUGUGCACCUGAAAUUACUUUUCAAUGCAAGAUUUCUAUCUUAGCUCUCUUAAGCAACAAACAAUCCUUUUAAACCACAUCUAACCAAUUCAAAAACAUCCAAAUCAAAUCAAAAUCAUCAUUUUAAACAACCAUCUUAAGUGCCUAACCAAUAUGCCACAAUUGGCACCUCAAUUCACAAUUCAAAAUCAACUAAUUUAUCAUAUUCAUCCAUACCAAUAUGCCUUCAAGGCAACUCAACAAGUUCAACCAAACAUAUGCCAUUAAACCCUUUUUAACACAUAAUGAACCACUCAACUUCAAUCACAAACCAUACACCAAAACUUACCAUUCAAUACAGGAUCAAUAGUAGCAUACCAUUAAUCACUUACAACUAAAUACUAAUCACCACAUCAUCUAACAUAUUAUCAAAUCAACCUUUAAACCAUGAAUCACAUAAACCAAAUUACUUUAGCAAGACAUUAACAACAUGACCUUUCUCACCACAUACAUAAACAUUUAUAUAUACAUAAUCUCAAAAUGCCAAAAUGAACAUUAUAACCAUAAGACAUCCUAGGCACAUGCCAAGAUCAAAAUGAACACAUCACCAACAUUUGAGUUGAUGAUUGCUGCUAGAUGAUGAAUCAAUGGUCAAAUCUUUAGAUACCUAAAUUGCGCACGAAGUACAAAACCGUACUCUGAGUAUAAGUCAGUUGCAUUUCUAUAAUCUGAACAUAAAAGCGAAACAUAAUACAUUUAAAAGGCUCAAGUUAAAAUUAGAUGAUGCUAUGCAAUUAACAUGUCAAAUGUGCAAGUUCUUAUAUUCAUUGCUUACUUCAAAUACAUUCUACCAAUGAUGAAACAUGGCAAAUCUACCUCACAAAUCAUUUGAUGUCUCAACUCAUAUGAUGAUACAUUCUAUUUCAAAUUUCAAAUCCAUAAUUUCCAUUGAACAUUUCUAUCAAUGUUCCAAAUCAUUUCACAAUUGAGUACUCCAUUUCUCAUUCCAUUUCCAUUUUUCAUUCAUUUGCCAUUUCAACAUUAAGUAUUUUGUUUUUACCAUUUAUUUCCUUAUUAACACGAUUUAGACCGGACGGAUACAUGAAUCCAAUCAACACACCAGUUUGGCACCUAGUGCCUCAUCAGAUAAAUCCGAAGUAAAUAGUUGCACCUAGUGCUAUCAAUAUGUUAGACACCCAAUGUCUCAUCGUUAUAACCAAAGAAAAUUGGCACCUAGUGCCUCAUCGACUCGUAGUCAAAGUAUCUCUGAACUCUUCCUAUCCAAUGGCAUGCCAACUAUCUCCAAACCUGCCCUAACAUUUAAUAGGGUAUUUAUUGCACAAUUUAUUAUCAAUCAACAUUUCAUUUCAUUUCACACACACACACACACACACACACACACACACACACACACACACACACACACACACACAUAUAUAUCUAUUCAUCAUUUUAGUCAUUCAUCCAUAUACAUGAAAAUAUCAAUAAAAUUUAUAUGCAUUCAGUUACACAUUCACAUAAUUAUAUAUUUUUACAUAAUUUCAAUUUAGUCCUCCCUAACCAUAUUCAACUCAAUUCAAUUACAAGAUAGCUCAUCAUAUCAAAAUGUCUCACCUUAAAUUCUUACCAUGCAAUAAGGAUUCAAUAUGCAACAAUUUACAAGUAGUUCGGAUUAUAGAAACACAAACCGUAAACUCCGAGCUAUUCGCCAACGACUUGGUCUUUUCCUUCCUUUUUUGAGGAAUCCGAGUUGACAUUAGCUACGAAUUAAAACAAACAUAUAAAAUCCUCAAUACACAUUCAUUUAUACAUUCAAUUGCUAUUUAAUAAAACUUUCACAUUUUAUUCAAUUUAGUCCUUAAAAUUAGGACUAACAUAACUUUCAAAUCUAGCCUCAUAUUUUUAUGCCGAUUUCACUCUAGGCCUAAUUUAACUUCCUAUUUCAAAUUUCUAUCACAAAUUUCGAAAUUUAUACAAUUUAAUUCCUAUUGCACAAAAUCAUCAAUUGACUUUACAAUUUAGCCCUUUUUCAAAACUAAACUUAACAUCUAUCAAAUUUCUCCUUUAAACUCUAACUAUUUAACAAUGAUAACAUCCUCAAACUUUAAUAGUAUCGUAAAAAAAUAAUAUGAGUUUACUAGCUUAAGCUUCUAGGAUUACGAAAACAUAAAAAUUACAAAAAAAAAAGAGAGACUAAAUUAAACUAACCAAAUUAGUGCUUGAAACUUUGGAAAACUUAGCCGUGCGUUAAGCUUGUCUUCGCCCUAAUUGUUUCGGUUGAACUCUUUGAGGAAAAUGUUUUUCCUCCACUAAGUUUCAUUUCUUUUAUUUUAUUACCAUUUUUUUAUUAUCAUAUUAUUUAAUGUUUAAAACAUAAAAACAUACAUGUUUUUCAUUCCUAAUCGGUCAUUAUAACAUUUUAUGAGUUUAAUUUAAAGAUUCCUUAAUAAAUUAUAUUUUUGAAACUUUUAUGUUUUAGUCUCUCUACACUAAUUAAACCCCAAUUCGAUAAAAUUAUUCAAUUGAAAUUCAAUUCGCUUCUAAUAUAACUCCGCAACCACAUUUUCCGACAUCACUGACUUCUGAAUCGUUACACGCUUAGUUGUUAUUUUGGAUAAUUUAACACACUUAAUUUUAAGUAUGUUUAAUCAUGUAUUAUAUUUUAAUUUAAUCUUAAGAGUUUAAUAGCGUGUUUGGAUGAAGAAAUUUAAAUUUUUUAUGAUUUUUAAUAUGCUUGAUAAAUGUGUACUUUCUUUAUUUAUUUGUGAUAUUUCUCCCCUUGAAUUAUUUAUUUAUGUUCUUAAUAAUAUUAUUUAUACUUAUAUUUUAUUUAUUAUUGAUUUAGGGUAUAUUUGGAGAAAAAUGAGUUUAAAAUUUAUUUUUGAAAAGUUUUUACGGUUUGUACUUUCAACAUACUGCAAUUUCAUUAUUUUAACCAUAACUUGAGCUAAAAAACGUCCUUUUUGGGCCCAUAAUAUACCGAUUCGAAGGGAAUUGAAUGAUCUAACUAAAUUUAUUUAAUAUAUGAAGCCCAAAAAAAAUUCAGGAAAAUAUCCAAAGAUGGCCUGGAAGUUUGACGCGCAAGUUGCUGAAAUGUUUUGAAAAGUUUUGCAUUAUUUAAUUAGGGGCACUACUGUAUUUUCUCCAUUAUAUUAUUUUUGGACAUUAUUAGGUUAAGAUUGGGGAAGACGUAGACCUAGCCGUUCUUAAUUUUAUUUUGUUUUUAUAGGUUUCUAAACCCUCUUUUCUAGUCGAAGGUUAAUUGAAAUUUGAUUUAAUAAAUUCGUGAGACUUAUUUUGUGCUUUAAUUCUUCUUUGUUCUUUGAUAUUCAUGCAUCUUCUGUUAUAAUUACGAUUUUUCAAGUUUAUUAAAUAUGAGACAAGUAUUUAAUAGCUUAGAAUGGUUGUCAAGUCGAUUAGAAUGAUUAAAUAUGUAAUUGUUUAAUAUAUUCUAAUACUAGUGACGAAUUGCAUAACUCGUUUAUAUUGUAGUUUACGUUUAUGUGGUGUGGAUGUUUGAUAUAGUUUAAAUGAACCCCGUUGAGUUGAGUUUGUUGGUUUGAAUUAGGUCUCUCUAGUUUUUUAUGUUGUCGGUAAGGUAAAUCUUGGGUGUUGAGUUGCGAGGUUAUUUAUCGAUUAGGGAAAUAAUUUCAAACGAGUUGUCUUUUGGUUAUCGAAAAAGUAAGAAGAGAUUGGUUGCCUUGCGUUGAGUCAACAACUAGAACUAAUUUAUUGAAGUCAUUGAAGAUAUCUUUGCGUCAACGAUCUAGUUAACAAGUCACACAAAGAUUUUACCUUUGGCUAGAGUUUUUCCCCAUUGAUUUGAUAUGAUUUGAUUUUAUGCUCUCUUUUUACUUUGUUUUAAUUUUAAACCCCCUUUUUAUUCGUAUUUUUAUUAAAGAAAUAAAAUUAUCAUCGGUCUUUGUGGAUACUACCCUACUUUCUGUUAUCUACUAAUCUUAUAUUUUCAAGUACUUUGUAGGUCUUAACAGCCUAACAAUGCUAACAUUUUAAAAAUCAUCAAAUCAAAAUGUUAGCAUUUAUAAUUGCUUUGUUUGGAAAAAAAUAAUUAAUUUAGAAAGAAAUUAAGUUAUUGGAAUUUUACGAAUUAAAAAUAAUUAUAAAAGAAGAGUAAUUAUAUUAAAAAUAAAUAGUAUAAAAAUAUUCAAUAUGGAUAUUAUUAUAUUUGUAAAAAUAAUAAAUAUUUUAAUAGAAUAAAAUUUUAAAAAAUAUAUAUUACAAUUAAAUAAUUUUUUUUAAGUUUAAGUUUUUUUUAAUGUUGGACUAUAUGUAUUAAAUGAAAUAAAAAUUAAGGGAAUUUUGAAAGACCACCUCUUUAUAUGGAAUUUGAAAAAUGAAAUUGCGCUACUAAAAUCAUGAAAUUCUCCCAUAUUUUUACAAAAACAACUAAAUCCAUUUUUAAAAAUUUGAAAAUAUUAAUACAAAUGAAAUUUGUUCUACAAAUCUGUCAUCUGGGCAUAUCCUAAAGGAUUUUAUAAAGGAUUUAAGAAAUAUAUAAAAAUAAAUUAAAUUAAAUUAAAUCAUGAAAAUAUCACUUUUCCCUUUGAAAACAUUCUUUGGUUUUUGAUAUUCGCUCUAUAUUUAUCGAAAUCCAUUUUUGGUUCAUUAGUCUUUUAUAAUAAAAUAGUUAUAUUUGUUUAACUAUUAUAGCGAAGAAGUUCAAAGCUUCCUAUAGAAAAAAACUCAAAUUGACGGAUUACGAGUUGAUCUGACUUGAAAUGGUUGGUUUUUUCGAAAUUGAGUUUCAUGUCAUGCUAAUUUUAAGACAUAAUUGAGUUAGGUCGGGUUAGGUUUAGCGUGAGACCACCCUUGAGGUAAUUUUAAAAUUACUCUCCUAUAUAUUUAAUAUUAAUUAGGUUUAAAAAAAAUACAAUUUUACCACAUUUAUUCUCAUUUUUAUUAGUGUCCUUCCCUUUCUUUUUAAUUUAUUUUUCCAAGUUUCCCUCUAAUUUUUGUUCAUUAUUUUUUCUUAUAUGAUAUAAUAUAUAUUUUACUUAAUUAUCUCAAGCAUGGUGUUUAUUGUAAAUCUCACAUGCACCUCUAUAGUUGGACAUGACUCCAAGGUGCGACAAAUGAGAUCACAACCAUUAUAGAAGUUUUGGAGCCUUUCAUAUUUAACUAAAACCAUCUGUUCAACAACCUCGGGCCUUGUAAGCUUGACAACUCUUCAUAAUGGCUUAAAGAUAUCCAUCUAGAUUCAAACCCAAAUAUACUCUUCGCUAAUCCCCUUUUUUGUCUUUUUAAUCAACAACCAAGACCUCCUCCCAUAGAACCCCUGAGUUGAUGGGCUAUAACUCAGCACAUCUAAGUGUGGGGGGAAUUAUAAAAAUGUAACCAAAAAGGAACCUUAGUCAAAUGAUAAUCAGCAAGAAGGCAACCCUCGAUGUACUUGGUCAUAACAAACAAAUAUUUGUCAAAGUUCCAAGGACCUAAGUUGAAAAUUUUCUUUCUAUCCUGAACAGAACCAAACUUAAUGAGCACUAGUGAAAGGAUAAGGAGGAAAAUUGUGCCUCUGUAGUUGUGUACCACAUGCUUUGGAAAUUAGAAAAAGAGCUUCAUUAUAAGAGCUAUUUGAGACAAGCCUUCUGAUCUGCCACAAUUUAUUGUGGCAAAUUAAGCUCUUUUCACUACUUAAGGGCUUGUAUUCGAGUAGUUUUAUGUCUUUUAUGUUUAUUUUUAGAAUUAUUUAGUUUUAAGGUUGAAUUGAAUAAAUUGAGCUUUUGGUGCUGUUUUAUGACCUUUUAGGUUAAUGGCCUAAGGAUGAACUAACAAGUUGAUUGAGUGUGCAGGACAACAACUUAAGUCGAGGAGUCAGUUGACUUCCAUGGAUGUUACAACAUUCAAGGGGAAAGUCGCGACAUUGAAGUAACCCUCAAAACUUAGUCGAUUUUCAAAUUCAAAUCCACAAGGCAAGCUACUAGAGUCAAUGUCGCGACAUCAUAAAAGCAAAGUUACAACAUUCCACUUGAGGGGUUCAAAGCCAAAUAUUCUGCUAGCAAAGUCACAUCACCAAUUAUAGGGUGUCGUGACACCAGUUCGACAAGAUUAGUAAUUUCUCAAGGGUGUUUUCGUCUAUACAAUCUCACUUAACUUGUUAAGCAGUUUGUAAUUGACCUAAAUAGAUCAUAAUACAUUAACACUAUAAAUAAUAGCUACUGAGAACAAAUUAAAUGGGUUUUAAAGUUAUUCUUAGUUAUUUUCAUAAAUUGUUAAAGUUUUAGAAUAGAUUUUUAGAUUCUUUUAAGUUGUUCAAUACUUUGUUAUUUUUUAAUUAAAUUUCUUUUUAGUUUAUUUGUUUCUUUUAUUUUCUGUUUCGACUUUGGCCAAAGCAUAAUCAAUUAUUGUUCAUGGGUUCAAGCAACCAAUCAUCUAAUCAAGAUUUUUGGAUUUCUGAGCAAAACUUUCAUUUCUAUUUUAUUUUGCAUUUAAUUGAAUGUUUGAUAAUUGGGUAGGAAUGUUUGCCUCUAGAAUGGUCGCUAACUAAAACCCUAGGAAGGUUGAUUGACCGAAGUGAGAGUGAUUGGCUUGGGUUUAAGGUUUCAAAACUGAUUAGUUGGAUUAGGUUGAAUGUGUUUAAAGCUUAGUUUAACAUUGCUUCUCAAAAGUGCUUUUGGGCUAAAAAGUACUUUUGAGCAAAAGCUAAAAUUUUCUGCUUCUGCUUUUGACUAAAAAAGUGCUUUUGCAAAGUACUUUUUUGUCUCAAAAGCACUUUUGAAAAGCUUAAAAGAAUCUUGUUUAGCAAUGCUUUUAUCUCAAAAGUGAUUUUUGCCUCAAAAGUUCUUAGAAGCAAUGUUAAAUUGGCCCUAAACCCUAGAAUUGACGACUCUAGAAAGUCACUUAGGUGGAUGAUACCGAAAGGGUAUUUUACUUACACUAGUUCAACCUAGCUCGGUUUAACUCACCAGGUCGAAAGAUAAGUGAAUUAAGUCGAUCAAUUGACUUAGUUAUAGGUCGAAAGGUAUUAAUUAGGUUAAUUGUUAGCUAAUUAGUAAAAACCCCUAAAUUUAAGUUAAUCAUGAACAUAAAGGUUAAUCAUACUGCUAUCUACUUAAUAGGGUUGUGAACUUGGUAUUUUUGUCUUUUAUGCACUUUAGUUCUUUUCUGCAAUUUCUCGAUCUUAGUUUUUGUCGUAAUAUGAUAAGUAAACUAGUAUCUAUUUAGACCUAGGUUAAUGUGUUCUUCCUUACUGUUAAUUUAGAGCCCCUUUGGAUGGGCAUUUACCUCUAGUGCAGUGCGUUUAGCUUUCUUUUUGUCUAGCGCUAUAGUAUCGCUACAAUAUCUAAUCUGACCACCACCACUGUUUUUACACUAACCGCAAGUAAAUGCACCGCCCAUCCAAAUUGGCCCUUAGUUUAAACAAACCUUCCUUGGAUACUAUCUUCGGAAUACUUACGUGUUUCAUUGUAAACAAAAAUCUAUAUUAUAAUUUGACAUGUUCGCUUGCAGAUACCACAUUUUAAUUCCAAAUUUAAUUGCAAUUUUUUAAGCCUCAACCCACACACACUAAGGCGCAGUGACCUUCUAAUUUCUUAUGCCUUAAAACCCUGUGUGAAUCAAUUUUUCAUUAUUCGUAAUUGUGAGCCCCUAUACCUUUUUUUCACAAAAUAUUAUCUUUCGUAGAAAAACAUCAAUUUUGUUUACUGUGAGUGCUAAACAAACUAGAGGAAAACUCAAAUUCAAGGAGCAUAGUAGAAACACAAUCGUUCACACAAAAUGAGAGAAUUUUGUCAAAAGACUUUUAGCUUGAAACCAUUAGAGCUCGCACAAGUUUAAGGCAUCCCAUGUUCAAUGUUCUAGUUUGGCUUUAAAGUUUAUGGGAGAGAAUUUUCGAUUAAAACUGAGAAAAUUGAGAAAACCAACUCAGUUGGUUUAAUUAGUUUUGGUUUGGAUAGUUUGUGCGGGUUUUCCAGUUAUGGGUUUGGUUUGGGUGGUUAUUUCAUUUAGUAUAGGUUUUUAAAUUUUCAAAUCGACCCGAUCGAAAAACAAACUUAAUUUAAUAUAUAUUUUUAAUUAUUUAUAAUAUAUUUAUAAUUUAUGAUAUAUAAACUAAAUAUAUAAGAUUCAAGCCCAUUAACUAAAGUUGGUUAAGUCAGUUAACCAACCGAAUCAAUCGACCUAAACUUAGUUCGGUUAUGUCGGUUCUUGAGCUUUAAUUCGAUUGGAUUGGUUUUUUUAGAAUAUAAUUAGUUAAGUUGGUUGAAUAAAAAAUGGACCAAAACGACACAAAGAAAACCCAAAUGCUUUCCCCUACUAAAUUUCGCCUAUAUAGGCCCACAAUAAACUAAACACUUUUGGUCCAGUGUGUACUAAACUCUACUAAGAGUUUUUGCGUGAGUAGGCCACCUCAAAGAGAGUCAUAAUCUAAGUUGGACUCUUACUAGUUACCGCCUAUCCACCCAAUGACGAUGGCCAAUCACCUUGUCUUUCCACCCCUUGUACUAUUGUUGUUAUCACUCUAUUCGUCCUUAUGGCACCAUGAAAAAAAGGCUAAAGAACAACUAGUACGAUGCGUCAUGAUCAGAUUUUAUACACUCUUACCAUGUGCCCACACCUACCUAUAACUUGCAUUCAGAAUGCUACUACUCUACUAGUAUUCCUACAAUCAAUUGACGCUACAUUUAUUUUUUGAUAAUUGAAGGUGGAGGAUAAGAUUAUUUGAAAUUUUGAACUUAAUAUUUUUGUCACUGCUAACAGAGUGUUGAAAUUAAACAGAAAAUUUUUUGGUGAAAAUAAAUAAAGAUUACACCUAACUUAACUAUUUACAAAUACCAUCAACUCUAUCAAAACGUAUGAGUUAUAAAACCUCUUUUGGCAUAUUAUCAUAAACCUGCAAAUCUCCUUUCUUGUUGAUCAACAUUUUGGCUAGGCAAUCAACAACUCGAUUCUUUUCUCCAGGGACAUGUCUUAGACUUCAAUGCUCAACAUGAGGCAGAAUAUGAUGAAUUUGUCUAAUCAAAGCAGAGUUUAAAUAUACCAAUAAACUAUCUUGAAUACCUUUAAUCACUUUCAAGCUAUCAGAUGAACCACUAUCUUGUUGUAGCCUUGUCGUUGGAGAAGGACCAAGCCAUCCAAAAUAUCCUAUAAUUCCAUAUCAAAGGCUAAGUAUUUCCCCACAUGCCUAUUAUACCCGAAAAUCCACUCCCCAACCCCAUUUUGCACUAUUCCACCGACACCCCUUAAUCCUGAUUCCUAUUUAACUGCUCCAUCAGAAUUUAAAUGGACCCAAUUUUCUGAAAAUGAUUGACUAGGACUAUCUUCUUGAUAACUACUUCGAGCAUCCUUAUGAAUUGACAUGUAUUGUUUUGCCUAACUAUACGUAGCUUUAGCAAUCUCAAAAGAACUCUAAGUUGUACUUUGGAAAAUGAGGAGAUUCCUAUUUCCAAAUGGGCCAAACAAUCAAACUGAAAAGACAAGGCCAACUAACCUCCCUUAUAUUGAAUCCCGAAAGAUUCUGUAAAUUAGAAACAAACCAUUCAUAAAGGUUAGUCGAAAAAACGUACCAUAGUGAUUUACAGGAAUGACUUGCGCCUAAACUUCCUUCGCGGCUAAACAAUCCAUGAGCACAUGUAAGAUAUCUUCCAUGGAUUCACCACAAUGUAUGCAGGAGCUGUCAUAACCAACACCUCUUCUCACAUGCUUGACAUUAGUAAGCAAACCCUACUUAAACACUAGCCACAGGAACAACCUUAUCCUUUAGGGCUCCUAAAACUUCUACACCAAUUUCCACUAUGUAUUUCUAGGGGACCAAUUUCCUUUCCGUAACAUCCAAU